AAAUCCAAUCAAUCCCAAACCAGCAAGAACAAAAAUCCAAACCCUUGUCUCAAAAUCAAAACUUUUCAAUCAAACAGUACAGGAUUCUCAUAACCCUUUUAUAAUGCUAACCCAAAUGACCAAAUAAACAAACCCCGAUUGAGAUCAAUCAAGAUAAACACGGUUUUUACACUUCUUUUUAUUAAUUGUUGGAGAAAACCUACCAGUAAAUGAUUCUUUCUCGGGUCACAGGAGAACAGACUAGUGAAUUUAGAAAAAACGCAUAAAAGUGUCGAUAACCCUGUUCUGUUCUGUUCACCUAUGAAGGAAAGAUUAAGGAGGCAGGGAGGUUUCUCCAACGUUUUACUGUCCUAUAU